UACGGAGGGUGCAAGCGUUAUCCGGAUUUACUGGGUUUAAAGGGUGCGCAGGCGGAUAUGUAAGUCAGUGGUGAAAUCUCUAGGCUUAACCUGGAAAUUGCCGUUGAUACUAUAUAUCUUGAAUGCUGUGGAGGUAAGCGGAAUGUGUCAUGUAGCGGUGAAAUGCUUAGAUAUGACAUAGAACACCUAUUGCGAAGGCAGCUUACUACGCAGAUAUUGACGCUCAUGCACGAAAGCGUGGGGAUCAAACAGG
rnacentral:rRNA from 1 species